rnacentral:rRNA from 1 species
ACCGGAUAGGACGAAAGUUUAAAGGUGCUUCGGCACCACUGAUGGAUGAGCCUGCGGCGCAUUAGCUAGUUGGUAGGGUAAAGGCCUACCAAGGCGACGAUGCGUAGCCGACCUGAGAGGGUGAACGGCCACACUGGGACUGAGACACGGCCCAGACUCCUACGGGAGGCAGCAGUAGGGAAUCUUCGGCAAUGGGCGAAAGCCUGACCGAGCAACGCCGCGUGAAUGAUGAAGGCCUUCGGGUUGUAAAAUUCUGUUAUAAGGGAAGAAUGGCUCUAGUAGGAAAUGGCUAGAGUGUGACGGUACCUUAUGAGAAAGCCACGGCUAACUACGUGCCAGCAGCCGCGGUAAUACGUAGGUGGCGAGCGUUAUCCGGAAUUAUUGGGCGUAAAGAGCGCGCAGGUGGUUGAUUAAGUCUGAUGUGAAAGCCCACGGCUUAACCGUGGAGGGUCAUUGGAAACUGGUCAACUUGAGUGCAGA